rnacentral:rRNA from 1 species
UUGUCUCAAAGAUUAAGCCAUGCAUGUCUCAGUACGAGCCACAUUAAGGUGAAACCGCGAAAGGCUCAUUAAAUCAGUUAUGGUUCCUUAGAUCGUACCCACAUUUACUUGGAUAACUGUGGUAAUUCUAGAGCUAAUACAUGCAGAUAGAGCUCCGACCGGAGACGGAAGGAGUGCUUUUAUUAGAACAAAACCAAUCGGCGGCGGGCGCGUUCGCGCGUUCGUUCGCCGCUCUACCUGGUGAAUCUGAAUAACUUUCAGCUGAUCGCACGGUCUCGCACCGGCGACGCAUCUUUCAAAUGUCUGCCUUAUCAACUGUCGAUGGUAGGUUCUGCGCCUACCAUGGUCGUAACGGGUAACGGGGAAUCAGGGUUCGAUUCCGGAGAGGGAGCCUGAGAAACGGCUACCACAUCCAAGGAAGGCAGCAGGCGCGCAAAUUACCCACUCCCGGCACGGGGAGGUAGUGACGAAAAAUAACGAUACGGGACUCAUCCGAGGCCCCGUAAUCGGAAUGAGUACACUUUAAAUCCUUUAACGAGGACCCAUUGGAGGGCAAGUCUGGUGCCAGCAGCCGCGGUAAUUCCAGCUCCAAUAGCGU